UCCUUCCCGCUCCCCUCCUGCGGCGGCGCGCUUCGACGGCCCGGGAGGGAACCUCGUGGCCGGCGCCUCCUCCCGCAUCCCCUGCCUCCCCGCCGGCUUCCGCGCCGACCUCGAGGUGCUCAGGUGAACUGGUGAUUGUUUUGACACUCCCUGUCAUUGUUGAUUCUUCUGAAUCAUACUAUAACUUUUAUAGCUGUGAGUAAUCUAUUACAUUCUGUUCUUUAAUCUGUUGGCUGCAUGAUAAAUCAAGUAGUAAUAAAACUGGCUAUAGAUUGAUCCAACCUAUUACUAUUCAUGUUAGAUCCCAUAACAAAUUCUGUUUGCUAAUAAUCUAGCUCACUAGGAUUGCAGAUUUCUUCAAAUAACUGAAAGCAGAGGUGUUAUGUUAUAUGGACUUAAGCAUCCAAACAAAAAGACAAAAUGAAAUACCAGUUACUGGUUAGUACCCCAUCUUGAGAAACUAGUUAUUGAUACGAAUCCGGAGAGUCUGUACAUAUGGCAGGGAAAGGCUUCAUCAACUUUUCUGCAACAUCACAGAAUAAUAUGGAUUGUUCCAACCUACUAUUCAUGUUAGAUUCGGUAUAUUUCUGUUUGCAAUCAAUCUGGCUCACUAGGAUUGAUUUCUUCAAAUAACUGAAAGUAGAUGUGUUAUGUUAUAUGGAAUUAAGCAUCCAAACAGAAAGACAAAAUGAAAUACCAGUUACUGGCUAGUACUCCCAUCUUAAGAAACUAGUUAUUGGUACAAAUCCGGAGAGUCUCCACAUAGCAAGGAAAGGCUUGCCUUUUCUGCAACAUCACAUAAUAUUAUUCUUAAUUCAGCUAGAUGUAACAAUAGUAAAUACAACACUGAACAUUAUUCCACAAGUGAAAGCAUUGUUUCAACCACAUGGCUCAUGCUCGGUCUUCUGCUCCUCUCUUCUUCCACACAUGAUACUGCUAUCUUAAGCAUUACCAUCGCUUCUGAAUGGUUGAAUUCUCCAUCCAGUCUGUGGUCGACAAACUCCAGAAGCCAUGACUGGUCUUCACCUGCUAGUUUCUCUUUAAGAAUUUCAGUAGAGCAUCUAACAGCCAUUUCCACCUCCUCCUCAGCGUCGACCAUCCAACUAGAAACCCGAAUCCCCUUCACUAACUCAAGAAGAACUACUCCAUAGCUGUAAACAUCGGCCUUGCCAGUGAUUGGAAGGUUUAGAGCCCAUUCCGGUGCAAUAUAUCCUCUGGUCCCAUGUACCCUUGACAACAUCAGUGCUCUUGAUCCUCGCUUUUGUAGCUUAACCAGUCCAAAAUCUGCAAUCUUGGGCUCAAAGUCUUUAUCUAACAAUAUGUUCUCUGGUUUGACAUCACAAUGCACUAUCCAUUCAAGGCACUCAUGGUGGAGAUAGGCCAGUCCUUUUGCCACCCCAAGUGCAAUAUUAUACCUUUGGUUCCAUUGGAGCACAGGGAUUAUUCUUUGGUAAUCAAACAGAGCUCUGUCUAAAGAACCAUUCUCGAUGAACUCAGAAACCAAGAGCUUGCACGUCUUCUCGACAGAAAACCCCCAAAUUCUGACCAGAUUCAUAUGAUAAAUUCUGCCUAUGACACUUAGCUCAGACCUGAACUCCUGCUCUCCAUGGAUCACAUCGUUUAGCUUCUUCACUGCAACCGUCCUUUCAUCAUCAAGGACUCCUUUGUAAACUGCUCCUGACCCACCACUUCCUAGCUCUUCCUGGAAGCAAUUGGUUGCUUUCAGUAACUCACUGUGACUAAAUAUUCGGAACUGGCUGGAUAUUAUCGUGUAACCUUCAUCUGUAACCUCUGGUCCUAUCUUCCAUUUGUAAACUACCAAACAACCAGCGAUGAUUAAAGCUACUUCGAUGAAAAGCAGCGUUAAUGCUGAAGAAAGGAAGUAGCCAACCUUGAACUUGGAAAUGGCACCCUUGAACAUCCGCGAUGAAAUGUCUGCUUCUUUUUCAUGAAUUUUGCAUUCGUGGGUUACUGUAGAAGCCAAUUCUGGCGUAGACAUCACUACCUUGGGAACUUUCAGAUAAAUGUCAUUGUAAGGGUCUGGGAAGUUCUUGCCAUUCAGAAGAGAGACCUUUGGAUAACAUUUGCCUUCUCCUCGUCGGUACGAAAAAGCUUGGCAAUCAACAUUGUCCGAGCAUGCCUCUUUGCACUGCAAGAAUGGCACCGAGUCUGCGUACUCCAAGUCAUGCUGGUAAAAGUCAGUUUGUGCAAGCUUACUGAACGAAAAAGUGGCCAUGUUGUUUGCCUCAUGUCUUCUCCGGUCGUCCCAGCUGGCUGUUAUGUUUGCCUUGCGCCUGCACCCUUUGCUCCAGUUGCUUGCAUCAACCACCUCGAAGCCUUCGAGGCAAGAGCACUCGAGCUUUGGUAUGUAUUUGCAUAGGCUGUUUUUGCCACAUAGUCCAUGUACAUCGCAGACUCGGCGGAGUGCCAUCCAAGAGACUGACCAAUCGCCGCUUGUUGCGUUUAGGCUAUACAGCCUAAGGUUGCCAUCGUAAUCCAGAGUCAACCUCCUCAUGACCUUUUCACCAAGAUCAGAAGCAUCAAAUGACGAGUUGUCACUCGAGAAAAACUGGCCUGUCUGUUGAAGAACAGCAUAACGACUACGGUUGUAAGCGCUCCUCUGAUUUACCCACAGUUUGUUGGCAGGGUUGGGCCAAUAUAUGCUACUAAUCUCGGGGCCAUCGUAGAUGAGUUUUAGCUGAUUGUCACUGUCAAAGUACAACGUAUAGAACCCUGUGUAGAGCAGACCCCUGGCAGAUGCAGAUACCAGCUGUACGUACCGGGUCAUGGGCUGGGAUGGCAGAAGCGUGUCGGUCGCUGAGUCGAAGCUCUUCCAAAGUUGCCGAUGGUCCUGAUCCACGACGACAAGGUUGCCGCUGUCGAGAAGCUCUGCUCGGCUUGCACGAGCGGCGGUCAUGUUGGUGCUCCAGACGGCCGUGCCAUCGUAGUCAAGCAGGGCCAAGCCCCCGUGCUCUUGGAAGGAGAGCCUGGAUCCCCUACCGUUCACGGGCACAUCGCGGUUAGCCGUCCAAGCGACGGUCUUCCCUGAUGAGCCGGUGAACCAGAUGGAGAAGGUGAAAGCGUUGGUGGCCACCCUAUAGAACCCACAGGCGAAGGCACCGCUGGGCGAUAAAAGGAUGGUGGUGGUUGUGCUGUUGCUGCUGCUGUUGGUGGAGAUGGAGGAACCUGGCCCAAGGUAGCUGAUGCCAUGAUCCUUUGCAAGCGCAACGGAGAUAAGCAAGAGAAGGAAUGAGAUGGAUGUGGUGAAGAUGUAGGCAACUCUCAUGGUCAUGGCAUUCAUGUAUCCAGUAAGCAGGAGGAAGCACCUUGUGUCCUAGUUAUAUGCACCCAGGUUCACGUGGCUUCCAUAAUUUAGUUGCAGUCCUGCCCUAGUAGUUUUAAAAGGACUGAACGGCGCGAGGGACACGGCGAGCGCUGCUCACUGCAAUCUGGCCGAUGCUUAUUAUUUUGAAAUCUAUGUCAAAAACUAUUUUAGUCUACACGAUGACUUCUUACACUAGUAGGGCCACCGUGAUUAAUUGUAGUCGGCUGGUUGUUGGUGGUUGGGUGCGAGCAUGGUUAAUAGUGCUGGCUAUAUGAAACUGCCAUGUCGUCAUUCAUACAAUAGUGUGAGCUAAGAGCAUCUACAACCGGACACCUUAAACCAUCCCUCAAACGCCCGUGGACGUGCCCGGUCAGUGACCGGACAUGAGAGAGAAGGAAAAACGUGACCCAACUGGAUCCCUCGUAUCAUCCUAUAGGCCCGGGCUGUCCGCAAACCCUCAUAUCCAUCUUAAAUACGAGGAGGAUACGAGGGCUCGCAGAUGCGCCCGGCCGCGCUCGGGCAUUCCGCCACAUAGGACGCGGCCCUACCCGACCACCUCUCUCUUUCUUUCUUUCUUCUUUUAUUUCUCUCUCUUCAUCUUGACCAAUCACGUGCAAGUGACCGGAUAUAUGAGAAGAAAAAUGAAAAGUAUGGCUGCACGGAUGGAUAAAUAGGGGCUCAAAACGGACAGACCGGACAUGUCCGCGUGCAUUUAAGGGGUCAUAUUUGCUAUGUCCGGCUGUAAAUGCUCUAAAGGUUGGUUAUUACAUUAGUACUUUGUUCUAUCUUCUCUCUUUCUCUUUUUUAACAUUUAUUGUAUUUGUCUAAGAAUACACUUAUAGUUAAGCUUUUGCAUAAGGUUGGCCAUAGUGGGAGUAACAUAACCGGUAACAUGUACUUGAGACUAGCAAACAUGCUUACAUGGCAACUAAUUAAAGAAGAGAGAGGGUUAGAGUAACAUAGGUAGAUACCAUAUCAUGUUAAAUGCUAUGCUACUUUGUGUCAUGCAUGGCAAUAAAUAUAAUCAUCUAUGAUACUACUUUAUGAUAGUAUGCAUUAUGGAGGUAGUAUCAUACGCUAGUAUUAUAUGUAUGAUAUUAGUAUAUGAUACUCCCCACUAUGAGUAGCAUAAGAGUUCAUUCCCUUACUUUUUUAUAUUUUUCUCCUCCGUAUAAACAAAAAUGUCAUGUAAGCAGGUUGUAAGCGGAUGCAGACGAGUAGCGAUUUGUGCGACUUUUUGUUAAAUUAGCAGUGACUUCAUAAUACACGCGCUUGUGUAUAUGUCAAUAAUAAAAAAGCUGUUCAUACUCAUUUACUAGUGAACUGGACGCAGCGCAUUUAACUCACACAUUGACUGACAAUGUGGUGCAAGUUUUCAACGGAGAAUUGAUUGAAAAUAAAUGAAUGUAAACUUGCCAGGCAACUUUCAAUGGAAAGGUACCCCUAAAAAAGACUUGAAAGAUGAAACGGUAAAAGGUAAAAUAAAAGAUGCAGCUACGAAGACAUAAGCUACAGCCUUUUUGAAUUAUUUGGAGAAUAUUAUGGUUUUCUCAGAAACCACAGUUUUCAAAACUUUGAGGUGUUUGGGUCCAACAAAUAUCACAGUUUUAUAAACAUAUUGUCUCUAAUACCAUGUUUCUUUGGUAUUUAAGAAAAGAUGUCCUGAACACUUUUUUCUAAACCGUAGAAGAAAAAAACUAUGGUUUUUCAAAUCUGAAGUAUUCAUUGCCUACGCAAUUGAAUACCGAUGUUCCAGUCCCAGUCGUCUGUUAUGUUUGACUUUGGCCUGCACCCUUCGCUCCAGUUGCUUGGGUCAACCACCUUGAAGGCUUCGAUCCCCGUCAAUCUACGUCGUGGGGGGAUAUGGAAGGGAUCCCAAAUGACGGCAAGUCAUUUAAGAUUUAACCCGUCAAGCACGGCGACCCCGAAUGUUACCGCAUGAAAGGAAAAGGAAAAAAAAGACAGCCGUAGGAUGAAGUAGGAGCUGGGAGCAUGAGGAGGAAGCAGGCAAGCCGGAUCCCAUGAACACGGCCUCGGUGGGUUGAUGUCGCGUCUUCCGCGUACCAUCGAGCAAGGGGGCGUCCAGGUAAGCAAAGACAGAUCGAGGUCAUGUUGUUUUCUACCGCUGGGUAAUUUUUUAAAAUGUAAAAUUAUGAAUUUUUAAGAAUUUUGAAUUUUGCAAUUGAAGGCGUUCAUGGAGCUCGGCAUCCAAAAGCAAUUUCUGAAGGAAAAUGUAUAAAAUAUUUUUAAAACUUUUUACUACUGCUACUGCUUUUUCUUUUUCUUUUUUUGAGGAUUACUACUGCUACUGCUAGUAGGAGUAUUUGUGUAAGCAGUACGAACAGCUCCCUCGAAAAAACGGAGCAGUUCUAGGGACCCUAUCGAAUUGGUGCGUGUCGCCCCUCUCCCCUGCUCCCGUCCCAGCACCGCGCCGCGGCAGCCCUCACCGGCGUCACUGCGCGCUCCAGCUCGCUGCCCGACCACGACCCGCUCGCCUUCUACUGCCUCUCGGGCCUCGUCGACCCCCUUCCUCCCGUCCCCGGCCCUCCUUGCCGUCGCUCGCCUUCCUCUCCGAAACUCCGACCCGACCAGCACCUCCUCCUCCUACUCCUCCCCGCUGCCCUCCUACGGCGGCGCGCUUCGACGGCCAGGUCAGGAAGCCCGUGGCCGGCGCCUCCUCCCGCCUCCUCUCCCUCCCCGCCGGCUUCCGCGUCGACCGCGACGCCUCGAGGUGCUCAGGUUGUCGUCUCUGUACAGGAGCCGGAGCAAGGGAAGGUGCUUGGCCCCGCGCAGUACUUGGUUGGGGAUGGAGGCUCCGUUCAACGCCGCGCACGAGGCAAUGUGCCGCUCGGUGGCUAUGCCUAUGCGGGAGUCCAUUGGCAGCAACAAUGAGUGAACCGGUGAUUGUUUUGACACCUCCUGUCAUUGUUGAUUCUUUCGAAUCAUGCACUAACUUUUCUAGCUGUGAAUAAUCUACUGUAUCUAUUACAUUCUGUUCUUUAAUCUGUUGGCUGUAUCAUAAAUCAGGUAGUAAUAAAACUGACUAUAGAUUGAUCCGACCUACUAUUCAUGUUAGAUUCGAUACAUUUCUGUUUGCGAUCAAUCUAGCUCACUAGGGAUCAAAGAUUUCUUCGAAUAGCUGAAAGUAGAUGUGUUUUGUUAUAUGGAAUCAAGCAUCCAAACAGAAAGGCAAAAUGAAAUACUACUUUCAAGUUAGUGCUCCAUCUUAAGAAACUAGGACACUAGGUACUGACAAAUCCGGAGAGCCACUACAUAUGGCAGGGAUAAGGCUUGCAGCAACUUUUCUGCAACAUCACAUAAUAUUACUCUUACUUCAGCUAGAUGUAACAAUAGUAAAUACUCCCUCUGUAACUUCAUACAAGACAUUUUUUGACACUGUCAUAGACUCUAAAAACGUCUUAUAAAAAGUUACAGAAGUAGAACAAUACUGAAUAUUAUUCCACAAGUGAAAGCAGAGUUUCGACCACAUGGCUCAUGCUCGGUCUUCUGCUCCAGUCCUCUUGCACACAUGAUAUUGCUAUCUUAAGCAUUACUGUAGCUUCUGAAUGGUUGAACUGGCGAUUGUUUUCACUCUUCCUGUCAUUGCUGAUUCUGUUGAAUCAUAUAACUUCUAUAGCUGUGAGUACUGAGUAAUCCAUUACAUUCUGUUCUUUAAUCUGUCAGCUGCAUGAUAAAUCAGGUACUCCAUCUAGAUUUGAUACAUUUCUGUUUGCUAUCAAUCUAGAUCACUAGGAUUGCAUAUUUCUUCAAAUAACUGAAAGUAGAUGUGUUUUGUUAUAUGGACCUAAGCAUCCAAACAGAAAGACAGAAUGAAAUACAUAGUACUCCUAGUUACUGGAUAGUACUCCAUCUUAAGAAACUAGUUAUUGGUACAAAUCCGGAGAGUCUCUAGAUAUGGCAGGGAAAGGCUUGCAGCAAUUUUUCUGCAACAUCACAGAAUAUUGAGGAACGGAGGGAGUAGUUCGUACUCCCUCUUAAGAAACUAGGUAUUGACACAAAUCUGGAGAGCCGCUACAUAUGGCAGCGAUAAGGCUUGCAGCAACUUUUCUGCGACACCACAUAAUGUUAUUCUUAUAUCAGCUAGAUGUAACAAUAGUAAUACAAUACUGAAUAUUACUCCACAAGUGAAAGCAAAGUUUCGACCACGUGGCUCAUGCUUGGUCUUCUGCUCCUGUCCUCUUGUACACAUGAUAUUGCUAUCUUAAGCAUUACUGUAGCUUCUGACUGGUUGAAUUCUCCAUCCAGUCUGUGGUCGACAAACUCCAGAAGCCAUGACUGGUCUUCGCCUGCUAGUUUUUCUUUAAGGAUUUCAAUAGAGCAUAUACCAGCCAUUUCAACCUCCUCCUCGCCCUCAGCCACCCAUCUGGAAAGACGAACCCCCUUCACUAACUCAAGAAGCACUACGCCGUAGCUGUAAACAUCGGCCUUCCCAUUGAUUGGAAGAUUUAGAGCCCAUUCUGGUGCAAUGUAGCCUCUAGUCCCAUGCACUUUUGACAACAUUUCUGCGCUUGAUCCUCGCUGUUGUAGCUUCAUCAGUCCAAAAUCUGCAAUCUUGGGCUGAAAGUCUCUAUCUAACAAUAUGUUCUCUGGUUUGACAUCACAGUGGACAAUCCAUUCAAGACACUCAUGAUGGAGAUAGGCCAGUCCUUUUGCCACCCCAAGUGCAAUAUUGUACCUUUGGCCCCAUUGGAGCACAGGAGAAUUACUCUGGUGAUCAAAAAGAACUGCGGCCAAGGAACCAUUCUCGAUGAACUCUGAAACCAAGAGCUUGUGCGUCUUCUCGACACAAAACCCCCAAAUUCUGACGAGAUUCAUAUGAUAAAUUCUGCCUAUGACACUUAUCUCAGACCUGAACUCCUGCUCUCCUUGGAUCACAUCGUUUAGCUUCUUCACUGCGACCUUCCUUGCAUCAUCGAGGACUCCCUUGUAAACUGCUCCUGAUCCACCGCUUCCUAGCUCUUCUUGGAAGCAACUGGUUGCCUUCUGUAACUCCCUGUAGCUAAAUAUUCGGAACUGGCUGGAAAUUAUCGUGUAACCUUCAUCUAUAAUCUCUGGUCUUCCCUCCCAUUUGUGAACAACCCAACACCCGGCGAUGAUUAAUAUCACUUCAAUGAAAAGCAGUGUUAAUGCAGAAGAAAGGAAGUAGCCAAACUUGAAGUUAGAAGAGCCAUCCUGGAACAAUAGCGAUGUACUGUUGGCCUCCUUUUGAUGAACUUUGCAUUCAUGGGUUACGGUAGAAGCCAAUUCUGAGGAAGACAGCGCUCCCCUGGGAACUUUCAGAUAAAUGUCAGUGUGAGGGUUCGGAAAGUUCUUGCCGUUAAAAAGAUAGACCUUUGUGAAACAUUUGCCUUCUCCCUGACGGUAACCAAAGGCUUGGCAAUUAGCAUUGUCCAAGCACAAAUCUUUGCAGUUCCGAAUUGUCACCCGCUCCCAGUAGAGCAAGUCAUACCCAAUGAAAUCAGCUCCCGCGACCUUUCUGAAUGAGAAAUCCUGGGUGGCCCUGAGGUUUGCCUUGCGCCUGCACCCUUUGCUCCAGUCGCUUGCAUCGACCACCUCAAAGCCUCUGAGGCAAGAGCACUGGAGCUUGGGUAUGUACUUGCAGAGGCUGUUUUUGCCGCAGAGUCCAUGAAUAUUGCAGACUCCGCGGAAUACCAUCCAAGAGACCGACCAGCCGCCGGUGGUCGCGUUCAGGCUGUACAGCCUGAGAUUGCCAUCGUAAUCCAGAGUCAACCUCCUCAUGACCUUAUCACCAAGAUCAGAAGCUGCGAAUUUGAAGUUGUCGCUCGCGGCGAACCGGCCUGUCUGCUCAAGAACUCCAUACUGGCUACUGUUGUAGGUAGUCCUGUGAUUCACAAGCGGGGUGGUGAAAGGGUCAGGCCAGUACACGCUACUGACCUCAGGGCCGUUGUAGAUGAGCUUGAGCUGGUUGUCAUUGUCAAAGUAGAAUGCAUACAACCCUGAUGAGAGCAAACCCCUGGCAGACGCAGACACCAGCUUUGUGUGCCGGGUCAUCGGCUGCGACGGCAGAAGCGUGUCGGUGGGUGAGUCGAAGCUCCCCCAGAGGCGCCGGCCGUUUGGAUCGACGACGACAAGGUCGCCGCUGUCGAGGAGCUCCACGCGGCUGGCACGGGUCGCGCUUGUGUUGGUGCUCCAGACGGCCGCGCCAUUGUAGUCGAGCAGGGCCAGGGCCCCGUCCUUCCGGAAGGCGAGCCUGGACCCCCUGCCGUUCACCGGCGCGUCGCGGUUGACCGUCCACGCGACGGUCUUGGCCGAUGAGGAGCGGAACCAGAUGGAGAAGGUGUAGGCGUUGGUGGCCACCCUGUAGAAGCCGCAGGCGAAGGCGCCAUUGGGCGACGCCAGGAUGGUGGUGGUGGUGGCCUUGGUGCCAUCCUCGAUGGACACCGAGGAGCCUCUGGCGAGGUAGCUGCCGCCAUUGGUGUGAUCCUUUGCAAGAGCGACGGGGAUCAGCAGGAGGAGGAGUGAGAUGGAUGUGGUGAAGGCCACAGCAGUCGUCAUCUGGUUUCUGCUGAUGCGUUCAGUGCUACAGCCUACAGCCAUGUAUAUAUCACACACAUGAGUGUUGAAAAAAAGAGUACGCUCACGUGCCAAGUUGCCGAGUUACUGUAGUAGCAUGUACUAGUCGCAUGCUACGGACCUGGACGGCAAGUCCUUUUAGUCCGUACAGAAAAUGGAUCCCGGAUAUUACCAGAUGGAGUAUAAUAAUGAGCGAUGAAGAUAAAGGUAGGGAGCGAUGGUUCCAGCCUUCCAGGUUCAGUAUGGAGCAAAGAGCCGACAAGGACGCAUAAUUUCAGGUUGACCGAGAUCUGUCUUGAUGAGAGAGGAAAACACGUGCUUCAUCAGCUUAGAAGAUAGAGGUGAUUGCCGUGAUGGUCGCCCUGUGAUGAUAUGGUGUGCAGGGUUUUACGCUAGAACCGAGUAGCAUAGCAUUCUCUUGUGAGGAAAGGUAGGGAACGCGAUGGUUCCAGGUAUUGAGCAAGAGCCGGCAAGGUUGACCGUGGCUUGUCUCGAGUGAGAGAGAAGCCACGUGCUCAGCUUCAUCAGCCUGACGGCUCUGUUUUCUUCCCAUUCCUGGUCGUAGGUGAGUGAUACCGUGAUGGUCCUGUGAUCAGUAAGGUGUGCAGAAUUUUAUACUACCAGAACCGAGCGGCAGCAUUCCUCUUGUGCUUCCGUGGAAAACCCGGUGUCCCAACUUGACAGGAGCGUGGCUUCGGUGCUUGUGUUGUGUGUUAUCAGCUUUCAGUAAUGAAAGGAAAUUUAGCCGGAGAAAUGCUGUGAUCUGGCAAGAAAGAAAGAAAGUCUUAUCUGUAAUCGUUGCGCUUGCGCUGACCAGUCUCCUUUGGUGCAGAUGUGGUUGCUUCUUCCAAUGGCCGCUGGAUCAAGUUAAACGAUCACGGACGAGUGGACGAGCUCCACUCUGAUUUAAGUCAGCGAAGCAUCCAAAGAUGAGGACUUGUUCCAUUCUGAUUACCCCCGGGCUGUUGCGGUGUUGGACGUUUUGUACCUGAAUGAAGUACCUUGUUUGACGCUGGUGUUCACAGUGCUUCCUGUUGGCUUUGUAAAAACUGUGCUGUAUAUAAACAAGAAAUGGCAAAAGGAGAGAGAGCCACCUAGAGCUGAACAAGAACGAUCCUCUGCAGGCAUGGGAUCAGUCAGACUGAUCUGAGCCGUUAAUCACGCUCUGGCCCACAGGUCAGAUGUGCUUGCCUCCUU
rnacentral:lncRNA from 1 species